rnacentral:rRNA from 1 species
UACGAAGGGGGCUAGCGUUGCUCGGAAUCACUGGGCGUAAAGCGCACGUAGGCGGAUUGUUAAGUCAGGGGUGAAAUCCUGGAGCUCAACUCCAGGACUGCCUUUGAUACUGGCGAUCUUGAGUCCGGGAGAGGUGAGUGGAACUGCGAGUGUAGAGGUGAAAUUCGUAGAUAUUCGCAAGAACACCAGUGGCGAAGGCGGCUCACUGGCCCGGUACUGACGCUGAGGUGCGAAAGCGUGGGGAGCAAACAGG